rnacentral:rRNA from 1 species
UACGUAGGGAGCAAGCGUUGUCCGGAAUCAUUGGGCGUAAAGCGCGCGUAGGCGGCCUCAUAAGUCCGUUGUGAAAGUCAAAGGCUCAACCUUUGAAAGCCGAUGGAUACUGUGAGGCUAGAGUCCGGAAGAGGCGAGUGGAAUUCCUGGUGGAGCGGUGAAAUGCGUAGAUAUCGGAAGGAACACCGAUGGCGAAAGCAGCGCGCUGGACCUUUACUGACGCUGAGGCGCGAAAGCGUGGGGAGCAAACAGG